UCCGGCCUGCUCAGUGAUGAAAUUUCAUUAAAUAGCCGCAGUAUCCUGACUGCGUGAAAGUAGCAUAAUAAUUUGCCUUUUAAUUGGUGGCUGGUAUCAACGGUAUGAUGAGAGUGGGGCUGUCUCUAAUAUAUUUUUUUGAAAUUACCUAUUAGGUGAAAAGGCCUAAAUAAUUUUAUAAGACAAGAAGACCCUGUCAAGCUUAACAGCGAGCGGGAACAAGUUGUUUACUUUAUUCUGAUUUUGUUGUUUGAUUGGGGCAAUCGGGGGGUAAAUAAAAUCCCCCCUCAAAUAUUUCCUUUCUGGGAAUGACCCACUAUUAGUGAUCUGAGGAAAAAGUUACUGCAGGGAUAACAGCGUAAUUUUUUUUGUGAGUUCUUAUUUAAAAAAAAGUUUGCGACCUCGAUGUUGGAUUAGGGUAUCCUGAAGGUGCAGAAGCUUUCGAAGGU
rnacentral:rRNA from 1 species